rnacentral:lncRNA from 1 species
GGCCCUAGUCGACCGAUUGUCAAAUGACACUAAAGACUCCAUGCAACACCUGCAGGAAGUUGUGGCGGAACUCACUUCGAGGGUGACCAUACUCACAAGGGUACUAAAUACGGGAGGAAGCAACACCCGCGUUACGCCACACUUGAUGGCACCCGAGUCUCAUGGUUAUAGAGGGGCCAGAGAUGCAAAAGAGCUUGAGAAUUUCCUGUUCGAUAUGGAACAAUACUUUUGAGCUACGAGGCCUGAUUCUAAAGAAACCAAAGUUU